rnacentral:rRNA from 1 species
GGCGACCNGCGCACNGGUGAGUAACANGUAUCCAANCUGCCGAUGACUCGNGGNUNGCCUUUCNAANGAAAGAUUAAUANCCGNNGGCAUNNUUCUUCCGCAUGGUCGAANUAUUAAAGAAUUUCGGUCAUCNAUGGGGAUGCNUUCCAUUAGGUUGUUGGCGGGGUAACGGCCCACCAAGCCUUCGAUGGAUAGGGGUUCUGAGAGGAAGGUCCCCCACAUUGGAACUGAGACACGGUCCAAACUCCUACGGGAGGCAGCAGCGAGGAAUAUUGGUCAAUGGACGAGAGUCUGAACCAGCCAAGUAGCGUGAAGGAUGACUGCCCUAUGGGUUGUAAACUUCUUUUAUACGGGAAUAAAGUGAGGCACGUGUGCCUUUUUGUAUGUACCGUAUGAAUAAGGAUCGGCUAACUCCGUGCCAGCAGCCGCGGUAAUACGGAGGAUCCGAGCGUUAUCCGGAUUUAUUGGGUUUAAAGGGAGCGUANGCGGACGCUUAAGUCAGUUGUGAAAGUUUGCGGCUCAACCGUAAAAUUGCAGUUGAUACUGGGUGUCUUGAGUACAGUAGAGGCAGGCGGAAUUCGUGGUGUAGCGGUGAAAUGCUUAGAUAUCACGAGGAACUCCGAUNGCGCNNGCAGCUUACUAAGCCAUAACUGACGCUCAAGCACGAGGGCGUGGGGAUCAAA